UACAGAGGUCUCAAGCGUUGUUCGGAUUCAUUGGGCGUAAAGGGUGCGUAGGCGGCGCGGUAAGUCGGGUGUGAAAUCUCGGAGCUUAACUCCGAAACUGCAUUCGAUACUGCCAUGCUUGAGGACUGGAGAGGAGACUGGAAUUUACGGUGUAGCGGUGAAAUGCGUAGAUAUCGUAAGGAAGACCAGUGGCGAAGGCGGGUCUCUGGACAGUUCCUGACGCUGAGGCACGAAGGCCAGGGGAGCAAACGGG
rnacentral:rRNA from 1 species